rnacentral:rRNA from 1 species
CCUACGGGAUGCAGCAGUGAGGAAUAUUGGUCAAUGGACGGAAGUCUGAACCAGCCAUGCCGCGUGCAGGAAGACGGCUCUAUGAGUUGUAAACUGCUUUUGUACAAGGGUAAACCUGGAUACGUGUAUUCAGCUGAAAGUACUGUACGAAUAAGGAUCGGCUAACUCCGUGCCAGCAGCCGCGGUAAUACGGAGGGUCCAAGCGUUAUCCGGAUUUAUUGGGUUUAAAGGGUGCGUAGGCGGAAUGACAAGUUAGAGGUGAAAUGUCCGGGCUUAACCCGGGAACUGCCUCUAAUACUGGUGAUCUAGAGAGUAGAUGAGGUAGGCGGAAUGGAUGGUGUAGCGGUGAAAUGCUUAGAGAUCA